rnacentral:rRNA from 1 species
UACGGAGGGGGCUAGCGUUGUUCGGAAUUACUGGGCGUAAAGCGUACGUAGGCGGACUGAUCAGUUGGGGGUGAAAUCCCAGGGCUUAACCCUGGAACUGCCUUCAAUACUGUCAGUCUUGAGUUUGGGAGAGGUGAGUGGAAUUCCUAGUGUAGAGGUGAAAUUCAUAGAUAUUAGGAGGAACACCAGUGGCGAAGGCGGCUCACUGGCCCAUUACUGACGCUGAGGUACGAAAGCGUGGGGAGCAAACAGGAUUAGAAACCCCAGUAGUCC